UGAAGCUAGUACUGCUAACAC
rnacentral:misc_RNA from 1 species